GGGAGUUUAAGAUCAGGGGAUGUUUGAGAACAUUUGUCAUUUUUCACAUGUCCUGAGUGUUGUUAGCUACCUAAAUGUUGUAAAGAGAACGUGAUGUACCAGAGUCAAAUUCCUUGUUUGGCAUGCUCAAACUUGACAAAUAAAAAUUGAUUUGAUUUGAAAGUGAAAAA